rnacentral:rRNA from 1 species
AUUGAACGCUGGCGGCAGGCCUAACACAUGCAAGUCGAACGAGUGGCGGACGGGUGAGUAAUGUCUGGGAAACUGCCUGAUGGCGGGGGAUAACUACUGGAAACGGUAGCUAAUACCGCAUACCAUCAGAUGUUCCCAGAUGGGAUUAGCUAGUUGGUGGGGUAACGGCGCACCAAGGCGACGAUCCCUAGCUGGUCUGAUGGGAUGACCAGCGACACGGGAACGGAGACACGGUCCAGAGUCCUACGGGAGGCAGAAGUGGGGAAUAUUGCACAAUGGGAGAAAGCCUGAUGCAGCCAGGCGGCGUGUAUGAAGAAGGCCUUCGGGUUGUAAAGUACUUUCAGCGGGGAGGCGUUACCCGCAGAAGAAGCACCGGCUAACUCCGUGCCAGCAGCCGCGGUAAUAC